UGAGUUAAGAUCGACGGUUUAUUCAUUAAUUAUUGAGGUUUAAAUCUAACAUAGGAAUUAUUAGGGUUUGGUUUAGGAUUUGGUUAGGAUUUGGUUUAGAAUUUAGGGUUUGUAUUAGGGUUUGAUUUAGGAUUUAGGAUUUGAUUUAGAAUUUGAUUGGGAUUUAUUUAGAGUUUAAGAUUUUGUUAGGAUUUGAUUUAGGAUUUGGAUUAGAGUUUGAUUAGGGUUUGAUUUAGGGUUUAGGGUUUGGUUUAGGAUUUGGAUUAAAAUUUGGUUAGGAUUUGAUUUAGGAUUUAGGAUUUGGUUUAGGAUUUGGUUAGGAUUUGGUUUAGGAUUUCGUUGGGAUUUGGUUUAAGAUUUGUUUAGUGUUUGAUUUAGGAUUUAGGAUUUUAUUAGGAUUUAAGAUUCAAUUAGUUUUGGCCUAAAGUUUGAAUGAAGUUCAAUAGGAUUUUAACUAGAAUUAAAUUAAGAUUGAAUUGAGAUGUAUUUUAGUGAUAUUUGUGAUCCUUCUAAUAUUUCUUUAAGAAUUCUUAUUAUUUGUUUGAAAUUUCUUUGAGAUUUUUUUGAAUUUUAUUAAGCUUGCUUAGCAUUAUUAUGAUCUAAUUAGAGUAUUGUUAGCAUUCUAUUAGAAUUAGAAUUUUAUUAUUGCAAUUUCCAUUCUUCCUUCUAUAGCCAUGUGCCCGGAGCAUUCUCAAGCAAGACUUCACGUAUUACGACAAUGUUGAUGACUUUUUAUUCUAAAAGAUUUGUAAUAGCCAAGAUCAACUAGAAGAUCCACAAUAAAGAGCUUCUUGUAAACAUAGAUUUAUUUUUAA
rnacentral:lncRNA from 1 species